GGUCCUAUAGUUUAGUGAUCUUAUGACGUCGGAUUUUGAUUGUAGCAAGUGAAUCUUCCGAAGACACCAGUUCGAAUCUGGUUAGGACCU